rnacentral:rRNA from 1 species
GUCUACGGCCAUACCACCCUGAACGCGCCCGAUCUCGUCUGAUCUCGGAAGCUAAGCAGGGUCGGGCCUGGUUAGUACUUGGAUGGGAGAAAAGACUCAGAACAGAACCUAACCUACAGAAAAUG